CGGGGGGAGCAAGCGUUGUUCGGAUUUACUGGGCGUAAAGGGCGCGUAGGCGGCCAGCACAAGUCAGUUGUGAAAUCUCCGGGCUUAACUCGGAACGGUCAACUGGUACUGUGCGGCUAGAGUGCAGAAGGGGCAACUGGAAUUCUCGGUGUAGCGGUGAAAUGCGUAGAUAUCGAGAGGAACACCUGCGGCGAAGGCGGGUUGCUGGGCUGACACUGACGCUGAUGCGCGAUAGCCAGGGGAGCGAACGGGAUUAGAUACCCCGGUAGUCCUGGCCUUAAACGAUGGAUGCUUGGUGUCUGGAGUUUUAUAGUCUCCGGGUGCCGUAGCUAACGCGUUAAGCAUCCCGCCUGGGGAGUACGGUCGCAAGACUG
rnacentral:rRNA from 1 species